GGGCUUGUGGUUUAGUGGUAUAAUACUCCCUUAGCACGUGACGAAGCAUGCCGGCGUCUAUACGACUGUUGGCUAGCCACUCGUCCGGUCUAUAAUGGGAGUGGUCCGGGGUUCGAUUCCCCGCGAGUCCA